UGAGUUCCUCUGACAGACAGGACAACAGAUAUGAGCAUGCAGGGCGGCAGCCCGAAAUGCGAAUAGCUGUUAUGGAUUGCGAAAGCAGCAGCGCUGCGAAGCAAUCCAUGGGACUUA
rfam:Oribacterium sp. oral taxon 078 str. F0262 genomic scaffold Scfld0, whole genome shotgun sequence.